UCCCUUUUUAUGUUCUUUCAGAUUCCUUUUUUGAUAAAAAAGAAAAUUCAUCUAAAAAUAACUCCCAUGAACUGAUUUUGUUUUUCAGUGUAAUCAUUAUUAAUUCUAGCUUUUAGUCAUUGUUAUCCAAUUUCUCUAUUGUUAUUUCAAGGAGUUAAAAAACAAAAAUCAAUUUGGUGAAAAAGAAAAUUCUCUCCGUACAACUUUGAGACCGUUGUUGUCAACGUUACCUUUGGUCACUUUUUUGCGUCUGAGCUUCACGCCCCGUCCCUAUGGGGGUGCCGGCAAAUCUCGCUGCUAGUCAUGACAAAUCUCGGCCAAGUAUGGCUAAAAUAAGAGUGGAAGUUGAUUUAACUCCAUUUUUGUGGGGUCCCAGUCCGCCUAAAGGUUUUUACCAGAAGCUCGAAUAUGAGAAUGUGCCAAAGUUCUGUAGACGUUGCAAAAUUUUGGGGCAUUCUAUUACGCAGUGUCGAAAAAUAGAGCAAAAAAAGAAUGAGGAAAAGGCUGCUGUGCAAAAUCAAAUUAAAGACAGAGAUGUUGCUGAAUCUAGUGGAACUAAUGAGAAUGAGGCUGCAACAAGGACUAUCAAUCAAUCAAAAAAUCAAGAGGAUAAGAAGGACAAUACUAAUGAAGCCAUGGAAAUUGGCAUGCCUACUAGAAAAGGCUGGCAAUGGAAAAUUGGACAGCAAGAGGAAACAACAGCAAAAAGAUCAUGAUUUACAACAAGUUAAUAGUGAAAGGACUUCUGAGAGCAAUCAGAACGAUAGGGAGCAAAGAAAAAGCAAGACCAGAGGGGAUUUGGAGAAUGGGAGCUCUGUUUUAAAGAAUAGGCUCAACAAAAUCAAGAAUAAAAAGAAGAAAAAAGUCCCAAAAAAAAAGAACCAAGGUGAAAGCGAAAAUUGGGACGGAUAUGGCCAAGGAUCAGAUCACGUGCGAUUCGGAGAAGCAGGAUUCUAACAUCAACCUUCAACAAAUAAGGGGGAGUAUGAGCACCAAAGAAGAAGCAAAAAGUUUAGAGAUCGUGAACACGACGAUUGAAAAAGAUGACAACAAACUACAGGACUCAAAUGAGCACGGCAAUGAAGAAAAUGCAGCAAAUGGAAAACAGAUGAUGAAAUAUGGGGAGGAUACAGGAGAUAACAUUAAAGAAAAAUGUAAUACUCCUGAUGAAUCCACUAGUGUUCCUAACAACGUAAAGAACAUGCCUGCUAUUAAUCUUGUUGUGGAUCUAAAUGAUAAUAUGCUGGACACAUACAGUUCUCAAGAAGUGAUUGGCAAUACAGAUGAUGAAAAUUUGGAGGUUACUAAUGAAAAUCUAACAGAGUGCGAGGAAUCAAUAGAGAGAAUUGAAAAGGAAAGUGAUGCCCAACAACAUAUGAGACAGACAUGUGAUAGAAAUGACAUCUCUCCAGUAAAGAGAGGCAGAAGCAUGCACAAAAGAAGAAACAUAUCCCGCAGAAUGAAAUCGACACCUCCUUUAAGGAGGGGUAGAAAUAAAAACUCCAACCUUUUAACGUAUCCUAAUGAUUAGUGCAAUCAUUUGGAACAUAAGAGGGGUGAGGUCUCGAAAAGCCAUUCAUAGACUCAAAAGGAUGGCUAACAAAUAUAACUUGGAUAUGAUCGUUAUUUCAAAACCGAUGGUGAGUAUGAACAAAGUGGAAGGGUAUAAAAGAUUUUUGGGAUUCAACCACUGCACUACAAAUAUCAACGGACAGAUAUGGUGUUUCUGGAGAGCGAAUUGUACUGUUACUACCAUUGAGAACCAUGAUCAACAUAUUACUUUGAAAGUUCAAAAAGACCAUAACAGCCAGGAGUUAUAUGUUACUGCUAGUUAUGGAAAAUGCACUCGUAUCGAAAGAAUUGAAAUAUGGAGGAGUUUGGCAACUAUGAAUGCUAUUAUUAGUCAUCCUUGGUGUAUUGGGGGAGAUUUUAACGUGAUUCUCCACCCCAAAGAGAAAUUGGGAGGUUUUCCCCAUAGAAAUGCUGAAAGUUAUGAUUUUGCUGAAUGUAUGGAUUCUUGUGGUAUGAUCGAUAUCGGGGGUACACUGGUUCCAAAUUCACUUAGUGCAACAAUUGGAGACCAAGCACAAGAAUUCGGAAAAGACUGGAUAGGGUGUUUAUCAAUGAUAGAUGAUGGUCUCAAAUGUUUUGUUCCAACAUUGUUAAACACUUACCAAGGACCGGACCGGACCACAGACCUUUGUUGUUGCGAUGUGGUAACGGAAACAAUAUUUGUAUAAAAUACUUUAAAUUUCUGGACUUCUGGACUACUCAUCAAGAUUUUCUAGAGAUUGUGAGUAAUGAAUAGAGUAAGGUCAUUGAAGGUAACUCGAUGUGGAGAUUACAACAGAAACUCAAACUCCUAGAAAAAAGACUAUCCAAAUGGUCAAGGGAAGGAAGAUAUUAGAGAUUUGAAUGAACAAGCUGAUAUCUGAGAGGCAAAAAUGCAAGUACUAGAGGAUAUGGACUUGAAUUUGAGAACUGAAGAUACCAGGGAGGAACUGAAUAAAGGGCAGGCAGAAUAUAUUUGUUGGCUCAAUAAACAGAACAAUUUUUCAAGGCAAAAAUCUCAUGUCAGAUGGUUUGAGGAGGGUGACAGUAAUACCAAAUAUUUUCAUGCGAUGAUAAGAGACAGAAGAAGAAAUCUAUGUUUACAUAGAAUCAAAAAUAAGAAGGGAAAGUGGGUCUCUGGUGAUGAUAAAAUUGCCAAAGUUGCUAUCAAAUAUUUUAAGCGACUUUUUAAUUAAAAAGUGCUACAGUUGAUCCAAGGAUCUUGGAGUGUAUUCCCAAUUGCAUUAAUGAUGAUGAUAACAGGAUUAUGACUUCAUGUUCAGAUGAAGAUGAGAUUAAAGAUGCGGUAUUCAAUAUGAGCACAGAUAGCGAACCUGGACCUGAUGGAUUUUCAGGGAAAUUCUAUCAUACUUGUUGGGAUAUUAUUAAAAAGGAUGUGAUAGAAUUUGUACAGUUUUUCUUUCUCGGAGGAAAACUGACCAAAUUCUUCACUCACACCCUUCUAGUACUAAUCCCUAAAGUAUAGUGCCCAGACAACCUCUCUGAAUUUCAGACCUAUUAGCUUGAGCAAUUUUUCUAGUAAGAUUAUUACCAAGAUUAUUUCCAAAAGACUUAAUCCUAUGUUGCCUCUUAUGAUAUCAGAAAAUCAAAGUGGUUUUCUUAAAGGAAGGCUUAUUACAGAGAAUAUUCAAUUAGCUCAGGAAAUUGUGCAUAAUCUCAAAAGCAAGAACAAAGGAGGGAAUGUGGUCAUCAAACUCGAUUUGACUAAGGCAUAUGACAGAAUGUUGUGGUCCUUUCUUAUUGCUGUCUUAAGAAGAUGAUAUUGUAAUAUUUACCAGUGGCGAAACCAAAUUCAUUAAAAUGGUGAUGAAACAAAUUCAUUGGUAUGAGAGAUGUUCAGGCCAGAAGAUGAAUUGAGCAACAAGUGUUUUUUCCUUACAGCCCCCGGGACUGGACCAAGCAGAAUCAACAAAAUAAGAGAUGCAACAGGCUUUCUGGAUAAGCAAUUUCCUUUUGAUUAUUUGGGAUGCCCGAUUUAUGUUGGUAAAAAGAGAGUGGAAUACUUUGAAAAAUAGCUUUCCAAGGUUAUCAAAAGGUUGAAUGGAUGGCAGAGUAACAUGUUAUCGUUUGGGGGCAAGAAUUGUGCUUAUUAUUAAACAUGUCCUUCAGUCUUUGUCAAUUUACACUCUCACCACUUUAAGUCCCCCAAAGGGCAUUAUAAAGCUUAUGGAGAAACAUUUUGUCAGAUUUUUUUGGGGAUCCACAAAUGGGGAGAACAACUACCACUAGAGUUCAUGGGAGAACUUAUGCUUUCCUAAAGAGGAAGGAGGAGUGGGAAUACGAAAAAAUGGCUGAUAUUUGUGAGAGUCUCAACAUAAAAAGGUGGUGGAGGUUCAGAUGCCAGGAUUCUCUUUGGUCCAAGUUCACUAAGCAAAAUACUGCAUUAGAGCCCAUCCAGUUAAACAAGGUUUGGGUUUCUGGAAACUCUCAUAUUUGGAGCACUUUGACUAAAAUAAGAACAAAAGCAGAACCAAAUAUGAUUUGGAAUAUUCAGAAUGUAGAAUGUAGUUUUUGGUGAGACAAUUGGACUGGACUUGAUGCUAUUGCCCAUUUAUAUCCACAACAUAACCAUUCUAUAAGGACCAAGGUCAGAAAUUUCAUUGACAAUCAGAGAUGGAAUAUGAGAAAACUUCAUGACGUUCUCCCUGAUUGGAUCUGUCAGCACAUAUACACUAUUAAAAUAGGCGCUCCUAACAAAAAUGACUACAUCAUCUGGAAACCAGCUGCUGAUGGAAUUUUUUCCAACAAAGAAGCCUGGAACAACAUCGGAGUUCACAGGCAAAUUGACCAGAUGAUCAAUAGUUCCUUUUAAAAUAUCUUUCCUUUCUUGGAGACUUAUUAAAAAUAAAUUGCCAUUUGCUCAGUUUGCAGGUUUGUUGAUGAGAUGCCAACCGAUUGUCUUUGUUGUGCAGUUCAACAUUUCUUUUUUGAGAGUGAGGUUGCACAAACUCUUUGGAAAUAUUUUGGGCAUCCAUCAGUUAUCAAAGAAAAUCUGCAAGAAUUUUUCUAAAAGAUUGGUGGAGUACUCCAACCAAGAAUACUAUUCACAAGCUGAUCGUUCAAAUACUACCGGUCAUUAUUUGCUGGGAGAUGUGGAAGGUCAGAUGUGCUUGUAGAUACGGCAGAUUGUACCCAAGAAGAAUGGAGCAUCAAAUUCUUUGGAAUCAACUUUGCGAAGUGAUCGAGAAAGUCAGUAGAAGUUUAGUUAUUUGGAGCAGGCCUCAAGCGGGAAUGAUAAAGAUCAAUACAGAUGGAAGCUUUAUGGAGCAGAACGGCAAGGCAGGCAUUGGUGGAGUUGCCAGAGAUGGGGAUGGGAAUAUGAUCUUUGCGCAUGCUGUUCCAGUAAAA